CAUCCGUCACAAUUUUUAUAGUUUAUGUUUAACGAUUAAUCGUCCGUUUUAUUUAAAAAAUUAUGAUUGAUAUUUUUAUUACUAUUACAUGAUAAAACAUGAACAUUACUUAUGUGUGACCAUUUUUUAAAAAAAUCAUAUUUUUCAAAUAAGACGAAUAGUCAAACGUUGGACAGGAAAAUCCAUAGAUACAGUUAAA
rnacentral:pre_miRNA from 1 species